GACCGUGCAAGGUAGCGCAUCACUCUGUCCUUAAAUGGGGACUGUAUGAAUGGCACGACGAGGGCUAGCUUGUCUUCCCCCCAGGUCAGUGAAAUUGAUCCCCCCGUGCAGAAGCGGGGAUAAAAACAUAAGACGAGAAGACCUAUGGAGCUUUAGACACAAAACAGAUCAUGUCAAACACCCUUAAAUAAAAGAACAAACUAAAUGAGCCCUGUUCAAAUGUCUUCGUUGGGGCGA
rnacentral:rRNA from 1 species